GGCUUGAUGGUCUAGUGGUAUGAUUCUUGCUUUGGGUCACACGACUUGAAUUUGUAAGAGGUCCGGCGUUCGAUCCGCCGUCAAGCCC
rnacentral:tRNA from 1 species